AGUCAUGAGGGCUGAAUCAUGAGGCUCGGGCUCUGCUCUCUGUGAGUCAGCCCCGGCUGCCAUAUCAAAAUACCACAGUGAACGGCUUAACCCACAGAUUUAUCGUUCUGGAGGCUGGAAAGCCCAAGAUCAAGGUGCUCGCUGAUCCAGUUCAUGGAAUAUGGAGAAUAAAGUUGGAAAGGAAGAAACUUGAGGCAGAGAGAGGAGACAGAUCACUCUGCAAUUCCUCCAGGCAGAGUGACGAAAAGUUGCAUUCAAGCGUGACUCCUCUGCUGGCUGGCCAGAGAAUGCGUGAACUGCAUCCUGUCCUCGCGCACCUCUGGCCCCUUGGAGGAGGAUGCCACGUUAACACAAGCCCGAGCUGUUACUCUGUGGCCCUCAGAUUAUUGCAUCACACCUUGAGCGUCGUUGACAAGGAGACAGAAAAUAGAUGAGGACCCAGGGGAAGAAUGGCUAUAAAAGAGUGAGAUAAACCUUCCAGAGCACGGGAUGCUACCCAGAGGAAUCUAUCUUCGUCUGACAAGCGGGAGGCCCAUCUGGGCACACUGGUGAUGUAGGAAAUAAAUCUGCAAUAUAUCAAAACUA